GUAAACGAUNAGUGCUAGACGUUGGGGUUUACCUUCAGUGUUGCAGCUAACGCAUGAAGCACUCNGCCUGAGUAGUACGGUCGCAAGAUUAAAACUUAAAGGAAUUGACGGGGGCCCGCACAAGCGGUGGAGCAUGCGGUUUAAUUCGAAGCAACACGAAGANCCUUACCAGCUUUUGACAUNAGAAUUAGGGGUUUCAGAGAUNAGACCUGUCGGUUCGGCCGGAUUCUACACAGGUGCUGCAUGGCUGUCGUCAGCUCGUGUCGUGAGAUGUUGGGUUAAGUCCCGCAACGAGCGCAACCCUCAUCCUUAGUUGCCAUCAGGUUUGGCUGGGAACUCUAAGGAAACUGCCGGUGAUAAACCGGAGGAAGGUGAGGAUGACGUCAGGUCCUCAUGGCCCUUACGGGCUGGGCUACACGCGUGCUACAAUGGCGGUAACAAUGGGAUGCGAUAGGGUGACCUGGAGCUAAUCCUUAAAAGCCGUCUUAGUUCGGAUUGUUCUCUGCAACUCGAGAACAUGAAGUUGGAAUCGCUAGUAAUCGCAGAUCAGCUAUGCU
rnacentral:rRNA from 1 species